GACGAACGCUGGCGGCGUGCCUAAUACAUGCAAGUCGAGCGGAGCUUAGCCUUCCUUUGGAAGGCUCUGGCUUAGCGGCGGACGGGUGAGUAACACGUAGGCAACCUGCCCGUAAGACCGGGAUAACUUGCGGAAACGUGAGCUAAUACCGGAUAGAUAGGAAGAGCGCAUGCUCUUCUUAGGAAAGACGGAGCAAUCUGUCACUUACGGAUGGGCCUGCGGCGCAUUAGCUAGUUGGUGGGGUAAAGGCCUACCAAGGCGACGAUGCGUAGCCGACCUGAGAGGGUGACCGGCCACACUGGGACUGAGACACGGCCCAGACUCCUACGGGAGGCAGCAGUAGGGAAUCUUCGGCAAUGGACGGAAGUCUGACCGAGCAACGCCGCGUGAGUGAAGAAGGUUUUCGGAUCGUAAAACUCUGUUGCCAGAGAAGAAAGCUAAGGAGAGUCACUGCUCUUUGGUUGACGGUAUCUGAGAAGAAAGCCCCGGCUAACUACGUGCCAGCAGCCGCGGUAAUACGUAGGGGGCAAGCGUUGUCCGGAAUUAUUGGGCGUAAAGCGCGCGCAGGCGGCUGAGUAAGUCUGGUGUUUAAACCUGGGGCUCAACCUCGGGUCGCAUUGGAAACUGCUUGGCUGGAGUGCAGGAGAGGAAAGUGGAAUUCCACGUGUAGCGGUGAAAUGCGUAGAGAUGUGGAGGAACACCAGUGGCGAAGGCGACUUUCUGGCCUGUAACUGACGCUGAGGCGCG
rnacentral:rRNA from 1 species